rnacentral:misc_RNA from 1 species
AAAAAAAAAAAAAAAAAACAAUAAGAUAAUCUAAUAUCCCAUUACUUACGUAUUAAUAGUGUGUCAUUUUAAGAAAGAUGUAUGCCAUGAUAUAGACAAUUCAAUUUUAGGUAGAUCAUGGUACCUGAACAAGCAGAUAUCUUUACUUGGAUGUGACACAGAGCAGGCAGCUGCAGGGCCAGAGUACUGUUAAUAGGGAAAGAACUCAAGUUGGUGUCAUUGAGUAAGAUGCAAGGACAAUCAGGUUGCUGCAAGUAGACUUGCUUAAGGUUGUAACAGCAAGAUGGUGAUGGUGACUGGGCUACGCCUUGGACAAAUGGUGCACAUGGGGUCAGUGGCAGCAGCUGUGGGGUGCAAUUAGCUAUUGUUGGGUCUGGGGUGAUGGGGGUGUCCUGUGACUGUGAGACAGCUUUGGAUGGAAGAAAAAUGAGGAACAGCAGAACAAGGACAGUAAUGGCAAUAGGAGAUUGAGGAUAAAGAAAAGCGAUGGUAUGUUGGCUAUUGGAAUCAGAAAUUUAUGGUUAAGAUGGUGAUUAAUUAAAUAAGAUGAAAGUGCAUUUUGAGCAUGAGUUGUUACAUGCAUGGUGUGUGUUAUUCUGCAAUCUGCAUGUACUUCUUGUUCACUCUCUCUCGCUCUGCCCACCUAGCUAACUGUUCCUCUAUCAAGCUCGGGUUAAUGAUAGGGUGCAAAAAUUCUUUCAUUUUCCAUAAUCUGCCACUCUAAUUCUAGCAAACUUUAUUUUUGAAAAUUUCCCUUAUGGAGAGGAUAAUGCCACUUGUUGGAAGCUAGAAAUCAACAUUUAAUCAUGCUAAAAAGUAAGUUAAUUAAUUUUCUAAUCAGAUUUUUUUU